CUUCAAAAAUCGAGCCUCCAUUUCUUCGCCACUCUCAAAGUAUAUUUUUCCAGCAAAAUAAGAUUGAGAUGAGACAUAAUUGAACUCAUAUCCUAUGAUUCUUUCCCAUCCUACAUAUCCUAUUAUCUGCAUAAGAAGUAGGUGCAACAUCAUAUUUUUACUGUUAUACAAGCAUCACGUGAUCAAUUGAUGCAGUGACAUAAAAUAAAAGGAAAAGUAGUCAGAGCAU
rnacentral:lncRNA from 1 species